ensembl:lncRNA
AACUGUAAAUAAAAAAUGUAUUAGUAAAUAAUGUAUUAAAAUAUUUUUAACUAAGCUUUAAUUAACAUAUAUGCGUGUGUGUUAAAUGAUAUAGUUAAAUAAUAUAGUCUUUAACAUUAGUACAAGCUAAGUAUUAACAACAUAUUUUUACUGCAUUUGUUUGUGUUAGUAAAAAAAUAAUAUGUUAAUUCAUGGUACAGUAACUGAUGUACAUUAACUAUAAAUUUUAAUUAAUAAUGUAGUAAUCCAUUUUGAACAUAAUAUUAACUAAGAUUCAUAAAUGCUAUAUAAAUGAUGUACAUGUUAACUUAUAUAAUGUUAAAAACUAAAUCCUUAUUGAAAAGUGUUAGAAUAAUUUUAGAAUAAUAUAUAUAUAUAUAUUGUUCUUUGUGUGUGUGUGUGUGUGUGUGUGUGAGAAAGACAGAUAGAGAGAGACUCACAUUAAUAAAUGCCAUACAAUUGUUGUUAAUGUAAUUUAAUAUAAUUAAUGUUAAUAACUGAAACCUUAUUGGAAGUGUUACUUAAGUUUUAUAUGUUGUGUUUUGUGUGUGUCUCUUGAUGGUUCGGAUUAACCCUUUCAUUGCUGUAUGCCCUUAAUUCCAAACUGCUAAAUUAAGUGUGCCCAAUCCUGUUCCUGGUGAUCGACUGUCCUGCAAAGUUCAGCUCCAACUCUAAUCAGUCACACCUACCUUUAAUUUUCAAGCAAUCCUGAAGACAUUCAUUAGUUGCUUCAGGUGUGUUUGAGUAGGGUUGGAGCUAAACUUAACAGGACAGUCGAUCGCCAUUAACAGAGUUGGGCACCCCUGAGCUAGAGGGUUAUUGUGUAUGUGCCCGCUGGGCACAGCUUUCCGGAUGCCACCGGGGUGGCGUUUGCGCUGACGGCUCGGGCCCGCCAUCGCUGCUUGCAGCUAUAUUUAGGGCUCAAGCCUGGAGGGCGAGAGCCCUAUUGUUUUCCUUAGGAUUAUUUUUUAUUAUUAUUAUUAUUAUUAUUUUUUUUUUUUUUUCCAACGUCUCGGGGGCUUUUGGGGCCCUUAACAUACUCGAAAACUCUUGAAAAUUGGCACACACAUUGGAACCUGCGGCCAUUAGGGCCGGGCAGAGACUGAUACACGGGCGUGGCACAGGGGCUCUACAGCGCCCCCUGGAAUAUGGAGGGCCAUAUAUCAUACAUACUUGCACGUAGACGUAUGAAACUCGGUACACAUAUAGAUCUCAUCAAGCCAAACAACUUUCGUACUGCAUGUCAUAGGCUCCGCCCAACAGUAAGUUGGCUAUUUAGGGUUUAGUAUUCUUAUUUUUCGUCAAAGUUGUGGGGGCUUUUGGGGCCCUUAACAUACUCAAAAACUCUUGAAAAUUUGCACACACCUUAGAAUCUGUGGCCAUUAGGAGGAUGCAGAGGCUGAGACCCGGGUGUGGCACAGGGGCUCUACGGCGCCCCCUGGAACACAUCAGAAAUGUUGAGUUAGUUCAAACAUACUUGCACGUAUUCAUAUGAAACUCAGUACACAUAUAGAUCGCAUUGUGCCGAACAACUUUCGUAUUGCAUGUCAUAGGCUCCGCCCAACAGGAAGUCAGCUAUUUAGAGCUAUGUAAAAAGCGCAUGCUCUGGAAUUUGAUAUACUUGUCAUAGGUUUUUUUACCCGAUUGCCACCAAACUUGGUCAACAUGAUCUCAAGACAUUGGGGAUGCAAAAUUGCCAGGGGAUUUUUUGAUA